rnacentral:rRNA from 1 species
GAUGAACGCUGGCGGCGUGCUUAACACAUGCAAGUCGAACGGAAAGGCUCCUGCUUGCCGGGGUACUCGAGUGGCGAACGGGUGAGUAACACGUGGGUGAUCUGCCCUGCACUUCGGGAUAAGCCUGGGAAACUGGGUCUAAUACCGGAUAGGACGAUGUUUUGGAUGCCAUUGUGGAAAGUUUUUCGGUGUGGGAUGAGCUCGCGGCCUAUCAGCUUGUUGGUGGGGUAAUGGCCUACCAAGGCGUCGACGGGUAGCCGGCCUGAGAGGGUGUACGGCCACAUUGGGACUGAGAUACGGACCAGACUCCUACGGGAGGCAGCAGUGGGGAAUAUUGCACAAUGGGCGCAAGCCUGAUGCAGCGACGCCGCGUGGGGGAUGACGGCCUUCGGGUUGUAAACUCCUUUCGCUAGGGACGAAGCGCAAGUGACGGUACCUGGAGAAGAAGCACCGGCUAACUACGUG